rnacentral:rRNA from 1 species
UCCCCUACGGGGCGCAGCAGUGGGGAAUAUUGGACAAUGGGGGAAACCCUGAUCCAGCGACGCCGCGUGAGUGAAGAAGUAUUUCGGUAUGUAAAGCUCUAUCAGCAGGGAAGAAAAUGACGGUACCUGACUAAGAAGCCCCGGCUAACUACGUGCCAGCGGCCGCGGUAAUACGUAGGGGGCAAGCGUUAUCCGGAUUUACUGGGUGUAAAGGGAGCGCAGGCGGCGCGGUAAGUCUGAUGUGAAAGCCCGGGGCUCAACCCCGGGACUGCAUUGGAAACUGUCGUGCUGGAGUGUCGGAGGGG